rnacentral:lncRNA from 1 species
GGCCCUGUGAGCGAUCGCGGUGGGCUUGGGCUGGUGACGCGUGCGCCGGCCGGCCGCCGAGGGGCUACCGUUCUGCCUCCGACCGGUCGUGUGUGGGUUUACUCGGAGACAGGGUCUCACUCUGUCACCCAGGGUGGAGUGCAGUGGUGCAAUUAUGGCUCACUGUAGUCUUGAUCUCCUGGGCUCAAGCAGUCCUCCCAACUCAGCUCCCAAGUAGCUAGAACUACAGAAAUACUAGGCUUUAGAAUUUCACCAUAUGAAUUUUGGGAGAGAGGAGCACAGUUCAGCCCAUAACUAACACACGUGAUGAAGAAGACAUGCCAACAGAGGGUUAAUUCCAGAUAAAAUGAAAUGUUCCAAACAGUACGUUUGGUUAUUUGAUUCAUCUGUGGGGGAAGGAAAGAUAAUUUUCCAAAGGACAUUCCUCCUAAAUUCUGUCUUAAAGUUGUUUACGGAAUGAAGUUGAUAAUAGUGAGACCUUGUUGGUACAAGACUAUGUAACAUAACCUGCGCUUCUCAACAAAGAAUUGCUUUUCUGACUUCUGCACUCAAUAGCAAGACAAAUCUCUCCUCUGCCUUCUCCUUAUCAGACUACUCAACAUGAAGGCAAUAAGAAUGAAGACCUCUAUGUAUAAUAAUUGACUUCCACUUAAUAAAUACCUGAACAGAUGUUGAGUACAAGCUGAUCCACCUACGUUCAACCUGAGAGAGUCCACAUCCACAGACUGUUUCAUUUCCCUUUUUCAAUUUACAUAGAAGCAUAGAUUCUUGCUGGCAUAUACAAAUGCGCCAUUUAAGGCAAUCAAAAAUGGUUCCACAUCUCAUCUGAUUUCCACAAUUGUUGCUGUAACGAUGGACUACUGAGGAGAGAGACAAUUUCUCUGGCACAUCUUCCCACAUUUUAGCAACAUGUUCAUGGAGAGCCAAUAUUCAGUAAUUACAGCCCAAUUCCUCACAAUUUCACAAUUCGCUAACAAUAUGCAUUUUCACAAUGUAAAGCUGAUUUUCCUUUAACCAAAUCAAACAUGAAAAGAUAGCUGCAUGCAAUGGGCAAUCUAGAUCAUUAGAAGAUUGAUGUAAAAUUAGAGGACACUGAGACUGGAAUAGAUUGCAAACUUCAGGGAGCUCAGAAAACUUGUAAACUCUACAUUUUGAGGAAAUAUGUUGUCGAUGCUUUUGCAACUCUAUGCAGUAACUUAACAAAUAAAGCCUUAAAGUAAC